CCGGUAAACGGCGGCCGUAACUAUAACGGUCCUAAGGUAGCGAAAUUCCUUGUCGGGUAAGUUCCGACCUGCACGAAUGGCGUAAUGAUGGCCAGGCUGUCUCCACCCGAGACUCAGUGAAAUUGAACUCGCUGUGAAGAUGCAGUGUACCCGCGGCAAGACGGAAAGACCCCGUGAACCUUUACUAUAGCUUGACACUGAACAUUGAGCCUUGAUGUGUAGGAUAGGUGGGAGGCUUUGAAGUGUGGACGCCAGUCUGCAUGGAGCCGACCUUGAAAUACCACCCUUUAAUGUUUGAUGUUCUAACGUUGACCCGUAAUCCGGGUUGCGGACAGUGUCUGGUGGGUAGUUUGACUGGGGCGGUCUCCUCCUAAAGAGUAACGGAGGAGCACGAAGGUUGGCUAAUCCUGGUCGGACAUCAGGAGGUUAGUGCAAUGGCAUAAGCCAGCUUGACUGCGAGCGUGACGGCGCGAGCAGGUGCGAAAGCAGGUCAUAGUGAUCCGGUGGUUCUGAAUGGAAGGGCCAUCGCUCAACGGAUAAAAGGUACUCCGGGGAUAACAGGCUGAUACCGCCCAAGAGUUCAUAUCGACGGCGGUGUUUGGCACCUCGAUGUCGGCUCAUCACAUCCUGGGGCUGAAGUAGGUCCCAAGGGUAUGGCUGUUCGCCAUUUAAAGUGGUACGCGAGCUGGGUUUAGAACGUCGUGAGACAGUUCGGUCCCUAUCUGCCGUGGGCGCUGGAGAACUGAGGGGGGCUGCUCCUAGUACGAGAGGACCGGAGUGGACGCAUCACUGGUGUUCGGGUUGUCAUGCCAAUGGCACUGCCCGGUAGCUAAAUGCGGAAGAGAUAAGUGCUGAAAGCAUCUAAGCACGAAACUUGCCCCGAGAUGAGUUCUCCCUGACUCCUUGAGAGUCCUGAAGGAACGUUGAAGACGACGACGUUGAUAGGCCGGGUGUGUAAGCGCAGCGAUGCGUUGAGCUAACCGGUACUAAUGAACCGUGAGG
rnacentral:rRNA from 1 species